AAUAUCGCACAUGGACAACAGUAGAGGCGGCAAUUCGAGUUAAUGGAUCGUGUUCAUGUUGUGUCAUCAAAUUUGAGCUAACCCAAGCCUAACUCAUUUAUUAAUUGUGUAAAGAAUCUCAACCCUAGCCGAUCCAUUUAUUAUCGUGCUAUAAUUGUGUUACUUAUUUAACAAAAUCUCAAUUUUCAAUAAAAAAAAAUAUUUUCAAUAUGUUUUUAUAUUUUCUAUAAAUCUUGGGGUGCUAUCCUGUUAAACUCUAAUCAAUUUUAUUUUAAAUACAAAUAAUUGAUUUUAAAAAAUAUGAAAGUUCAACAUUUAUCUAUCGAUAAAAUACAAGUCAAGUAGUAUAAUUAAUUGUGACAUAAAUAAAUUAUCAUAUGUAAAACCGAACCUAAUACAGUUAUUAAUCGAGUUGACAGUUCGGAAGAGCUAGUAAAUCCAUUCAAGUUGGAUAUUCAAGCAUCUUAUCCAAAUAGAUUGGAUAAUAUCCAUCCAAAAUACUCUGGAUUUGGUUUAUCUUAUGUUCAUCCAUGAACUUGAUUAUUAUUAAUAUUUAGGUAUAUGAGACUAAAAUUGAAUAUUAUAAUUAAUAUUUAAGUUUUGUAAAUUAAAUGAAAAAUUAAAAUAACCUUGCCGAAAAUUAUUGCACCAACGAUGACAAUGAUGGCACCAUCAUCAAAAAAAUAGAAGUGAAUGAACAAAAACACAAAUACUAUCAACAUAUUUGAAAUUCUCCUAUCUAUGUAAUGGAGGCAACGUUGCCAGAUAAAUGGAUGUCUAGGGAUGGAUGCGCCUUCCAAUACAAAUAGUCGUAGCAAGACCAUCAUGAUUAGGCGGCAUUUCAAGGUUCACCACUACAUUUAACAACCAAAUUGAUGGUCUCUAAAUUGGAAAAAGGUGAUAGUGUAAUGUAACACACUAUGGUUUGUGGCGUAAUUAUGGUGAUAGUCACUUUUGGAAGGUGCAACUUUGCACAUCACCAUUUUCUGACUUUGAGACCAUCAUUAUGUAGAUAAUCCAAUUUCAAGUCCAAUGGUACCCUUCACAACCCUCUUCAAUCAAUAACAAUAAUGUCAUGGUCGACAAUGGAGCAGUGACUGCCAGCAAUUAUCUAUAUUUUUAAUGAAAAUUAUUGAUUUACAAUUAAUUAAAAAAUAAGAGUAAUGAAUUUUGUUUUGUUAUUAUGUUUCUAUAUCAAAAAUAAUUUUAAUUACCUUUUAAUAUUAAUAAUUUUAGGAAAUUCAAUAAAAAUGAAUAAUUUUUUUUGUAAAACACAUUAAUUAGUUUUUCAUAUUAUAAAAUGUAUAGUAUUUAUAAUAAAAUUAAAUAUCAAUGUCUACCCAUGGAUAUCCAUAUUCAUAUUCGAUAAUUAUGUAUUUUUACAAUGGAUGAAUAAUCACUAUAUCCAACUAGAUUUUGCAUCCUUAAUUGAUAGAGAUAUGACCAAUUAAAUAAUUGUGUCAAAUUAACUACUCAAAUAUAUUUUCUUGUGUUAUAUUCUUAUCAGGUUAAUGGGUUAGCGUCAAACAAUAGCAUCAUGACUAUGAUCAAUUUUUUUUUUAAUUUGAUAGUGAAAUGUAUUUUUUCCCCCCAAUUCUAGUCAAUUAAGCAUUGACUUCUCUUCAUUUAUUGCAAUAACAGAACUUGUAUUGUCCAAAUUUGACAAUUUUGUGAUGUUAGAGUAUUGUGUUCAUACUGAUAUAUUCAAAAGGUGCUUGUGACAUAGGUCUUGGCUUCUAGAGGUCUUGGCUUCUAGAGGCAUCACUGUAAUUAAAAAUUUGUAGGUGAAAGAGGAAUGUGUCAAAAUUUAAAAGUCCUUGGCUUUUUUGUUUUUAUAACAAAUAUCAAGACUCCAUUAUAGUUGACUUAGAAAGAGACAAAAAAAGGGUAACAAACCUAUGUGCCAACAUAGUUUUGCCCUAUAUUAUGGCAAAGCUAAUAUUUAGGCUUUACCCGAUUAUUACUCCUAUUCAUAAUUAUCUAUCUUAUUUGAUAAUCUUCACCUUAAAAAAUAAGAUAUAUUUUUUAUGGUAUAAUCAUUAUUUUAAAUUUUUACUUCUUUAUUUUACUACUACUACCCCCCCCCCCCCAAAAUAAUCAAUGCUUUCCCUUUACAAAAAUUACUCAAUAAAAAUUGUUAACAUAAGAUUGUCGGAGAUUACUUUUAGUAUUCUAUCGGUGAUAUCAUUCUAUUUUUCUAUUUUUAAUUAUUAUUGUUCUUAUUUUUUAAAAUUUAUUUUAUUUUUUUAUUGAUUUAUGGCUUGAAUAAUCUAAAAAAAAAGAUUGUGUUUGUUUAUUUGCUUGUUAUUUAUAUUUGAAAAACUUGACAACUAGAAAACAUGCAUUAGAAUAUGAAAAACUAUUUAAAAAAAAAAGGAGGGUAGAAAAACUAGUCCAAUCUCAAAAUGGAGCUCUUAAUAAAUUUGUCACAACUAGUCAAAAAGGUAUAGAUCUAACUGAAAAAUUAGUUAUUGAACAACUAACUUCAAAUGAAUUAAGCAAUGAUGAAAUAGUGAAUGAAAUAAACAACAGUGAAAAUGAUAAAAACAAAAAUCCAAACAAAAUUGAUGUACCAAAUUUAUUUGUUACAAAUAAUGUAUGCUCCAGGAAAAUGGGAAAAUGUUGAUACAAAGUUAAGAAAAUCUUUUAGUAUAAAAAAGCACAAUUAAAGACAAUAUCAUAACUUUCACAAAAGAUGAAAAUUCAAGGCAUUUCUCUGCUGUAUUUUAUGUUAAAAUGCUACCAAAUGGAGAAAAAUAUGAUAGGAAAUGCUUGGUAGAUUCAAAAGAUUUUGACAAAGUAUAUUGUUUUUGUUGCAAAUUAUUCAAUACAAGUUGUAGCAAAAAUCAGCUUGAUGAUGAAGGCACAAGAGAUUGGAAAAAUCUUAGCUCUAAACUUAGAGAUCAUGAAACAACCAAUGAACAUAUAAUUGAUAAAGAUGUUCAAGAAUAAAUUGAUAAGGAAAAAGAACUUUGGAAAAAAGUACUAAUAAGAAUUAUUAUUGUUGUAAAAAAAUCUUUUUAAAAAUAAUUUAGCAUUUCAUGGAAAAAAUGAGAAGAUCUAUGAAGAGAGAAAUUGAAAUUUUUUAAGUUUAAUUGAAAUGAUUGUAAAAUUUAAUCCAACAAUGCAUGAACAUAUUCAACAUAUUAAAAUCGGUGAAGUUAAAGAUCAUUAUCUUGGAUAUAUAUACAAAAUGAGCUGAUAUUGAUUCUAGCACUUGAAAUAACAGUUGUCACUGACAGGUUAAGAUAAGCUACCAAAUUGGCACUUAAAGGAAGAAAUUCUAGUAUUAGUGUCAUAUUUUAUGCCAUAUUAUGUAAGCAUAUUAGUAAUGAUUUCUUCAUAAUAUCGCAGAUAUAUAAAAGUUCAUCCUAGCUAGAUACAUUGUAGAUUUUGUAAGAAUUAUUUUAUUCCGUCCAAAUGAGUUCACAUUAUUAUCCAAUUUUCCUUUUUUUUAAGUUGAUUUAUGAAAGAAAAAAAAAAAUGACACCAAUGUUUUCCACGUCGCCGCAAGUCUCAUCGAUAAAAGUCCAUUUACAAAUUAGUUCAUAAUUCUUUUUGUAACUUCGCUAAAAGCUAGUCAAGUCAUUGCUAGCAAGCCUCAAAAGCACGAAGUACGCGAAUCACGGCGAUAACUGAUAAUAACUUGGUUGUCCGGUUUCGCAUACUAAUUAGCUUGAUUAAAAAUCGUGAAGUAUGGGGCACGACUAACGCAACGCAUACGUCUCAUGCAUUAGGCAAAUAUUGUACGGGACCCAUGUUGAGAGCACAAAUCCACUAUCUACAAGUACUAUAUAUAGAGCUGCAAUGCGUGCUUCAAGUAUUCACAACUUACCCCCAGCUGGCUAGCUAGCCUCUAUAAUUUGAGGGGAAAAAAAAAAAAACCAACCUUGUUCAACUUGCAAAUACCUACCAAUUAUUAUGGAGAAAAGCUUUGAUAUCAUUGCCCUGUCUAUGAUCAUUCUGGUGACUUAUUCAUCUAAAAUGGUGUCGGUCGCCGGCCGGUCGCUGCAUGAACCAUCCAUUGUUGAGAAGCAUGAAAAAUGGAUGGCUGAGCAUGGGCGCACUUACAAGGACGACCUGGAGAAGGAAAUGCGGUUUAAGAUAUUCAAAGAAAACCUUGAAUACAUUGAGAAAGCCAAUGAGGAGGCGAAUCGGACGUACAAGUUAGGCACCAAUGAAUUUUCAGACUUAACUAAUGAGGAGUUUCGUGCUUCAUAUACAGGAUACAGGGUGCCAAGCCAGUCAUCUUCAUCACGGCAAUCCACAACAGCAUCCUUCAAGUAUCAAAACCUGACUGACGUUCCAACUAGCAUGGACUGGAGAGAGAAAGGAGCUGUCACUCCUAUUAAGAACCAAGGUCAAUGUGGUAAGUAAAUCGUAUACUAAAUAUUUAUGAAGUAACUAUAAUAGAUUAUUUAGCCUCCAACCUCUUUCAGAACUCAAACUCAAUUGACCAUCAGCUAAUUAAUAAAAACAGCUUGACAACCGUCUGCCAAACCCCUGCUGGGGCAUGUUUCAUGUAACUUAAUCAAGCUUUUUUUUUUUUUUCUUAAUAUGUACGAUGCAGGAGUCUGUUGGGCAUUUUCAGCUGUGGCGGCGGUGGAAGGGGUCACUAAGAUUAGUGGUGGUAAUCUUAUUCCACUUUCGGAGCAGCAAAUACUAGACUGCUCAAUAGAUGGUAACCGUGGAUGCGAUGGCGGUUGGAUGGACAAUGCCUUUAAAUAUAUUAUAAAAAACCAGGGUAUUGCCACAGAAGCGGAUUAUCCAUACAAGGAAGUCCAAGGAACUUGUGAAGACGCACAGGUCAAGGUAGCUGCUAAAAUUAGUAACUUUGAAGAUGUAAAACCCAAUGAUGAGCAGGCUUUACUCCAAGCUGUAGCCAUGCAGCCAGUAUCAAUUUGCAUUGAAGGAAGUGGACCAGACUUCCAGAGCUACAAAGGCGGUAUUUUUAACCGAGGAUGUGGAACUCAGUGUUCUCAUGCUGUUGCUAUCGUUGGAUUUGGGGCAACUGAAGAUGGAAUGAAGUAUUGGUUAAUUAAGAAUUCAUGGGGGGAGAAAUGGGGUGAGGCCGGCUACAUGAGGAUUCUCAGAGAUGUUGAUGCACCUGAAGGUCUUUGUGGCAUUGCCACUAAACCUUCCUACCCAGUUGCAUGAGUAGCAGUAUUUUAUAUUAUAUUAUUAUUAGCCGCCUCUUAAUAAUGAUGUCUUCAAGCCUACACAUGCAUUAGCCUCGAAAGGCUUAUACGAACCGUAUGAAUCGUAUGAUUCUGUGGUUUUAUCUAUGUUGAGUAUUUCAUAAGUUGUAAUUGAACGCCAAUAUUUGGUAUUAGUUAAUGUUAAAUCUCUCAUUUAAGUAUAAGUUUGAUCUUUUCAAUAAUUAGUCGUUUACAUUUAAUGCCACAGAUACUCAGUUCAACCAAGAAAUACAAAGUUUAUAUCUCAGUUACUCUGAUAUUUUAUGUGGCAUAUUAUAUGUCGUUCAUUGAUUAAAUUGUAAGAAUAGUAUGUAAAUAAUUAAUAAUAAAUUUAUUUAUUAUCAUUUAUGAGACAAUAAAUGAUUAGUGGUACAAUAACUAAAAUACAAACUAUGUAUCCCAGUUCAAUAAACAUAACAUUACUGAUAAUUAAUAUUAUUCAUUUAAGAAAUAUAUAUUGGUCAAUGAAAUUAAUGCAAGACAAAAAGUAACUGAAUUUUGAUUACACGCUUGAUGUCUGGAAGUACAAUGUUUAUGAAUUUGUGUAAGUUGUUUUAGGUCGAAUUUUUAAGUUAAUCAAACCAAUAUACACACACUAACUUUUAAAGUUCGAGUGGAAUUUGCCCGCUUUAAUUGGGGUCUCAUACAGCAAAAAAAAAUUGGCAAUCUUGAAUUUCUUUUUCUAAUUACUUAUAAAAAUUUAAAGGCUUGGUAAUUUCCCUCCACCAAAUUCUGUCUUUAUUCCUAAGUAAAUCAGUGGCUAGAACACUUAGCUACUCAUUUCCAGAUGAAAAAAACUUCAUAUAUUGCAACCAGAAAUGUUAGUCACAUAUAAUUAAGAACUUAAAAAAAGAAAAGAAUUAUAUUUCCCAUUUUAACUAUACUCUGUGACUAUCACUUUUAGUUUUCAAAUGGUUGUUUUAGACGUUUAGUGAUUAAAAUCAUAGUCGUUGAAGUCUUUUACUCACUAAAAAAAAUGAUCGCAUAAAAUCCAAUUAAUUGGUCUGGUUUUUGUGACUAAUCGCUGAUUCGUUAUAUAAUGAAACAUUCGGUGACUUAAAAAAAUAGUCACAAAACAUGGACCAUGGUAGUAAAAUAACACAGAUAUAUGAACUGCAAAUUCCGUGAAUAAAAACUAAUAGUAGUCGUGGAAUAAUAUAUUAGGUGGUUAAGUUUUAUUUAGUCCUAAAAUAUUAUUUUUCUUUUAUUGUGAUCAUAUGAGCGACAUCACUCACGUGAUCACUACUCUACUUUAAUAUACUUUCAAAACUCUUAUAUUUUGUGCAUCUAUUUAAUAAAAUUUAAAACUUAAAUUUUAGUAUUAACACAUUUUUAAUUUUUAAAAAUAAAUAUGAAAACACUCCUCAUUAAACCUUUUCAUUAGAAACUUUGUUUCCGUUCGAUACAUUUCACAAUGUAUUGUCUUUUUAUUUUUAAGUUGUUUUUUUUUACAAUCUUCACGUUUGAUUUGUCUUUGUUAUUCUCUUCAAACUGAGAAUCUUUUAUAAUGUUCAAUGUUGAUCCAAUCCUUUUCAUUGAUUUUUCUUAUAUUUGAUAUUGGCCAAUUCACUAUAUUUAAUUAUAAGACUGGUUCUUUUAUAAUGUUCAAUGUUGAUGCCAAUCUUUUUCAUUGAUUUUUCUUAUAUUUGAUAUUGGUCAAUUCACUAUAUUUAAUUAUAAGACUGGUUCUUUUAUAAUGUUCAAUGUUGAUGCCAAUCUUUUUCAUUGAUUUUUCUUAUAUUUGAUAUUGGCCAAUUCACUAUAUUUAAUUAUAAGACUGGUUCUUCUCAACUUUAAUUUCCUCCUUCAUGAUUUCUCUGUCUUUGUUUCAAUCACGUUUAAAACAAAAGAUAAUUUGUGUAUUGAUGCAUGACUUUUCCAAUCAAUUCCGUUAACCAGAACAAGUUGAGAAGUUAUGAGCCAUAGCUAGUUUCUUGAUCAUAUGCUACUGAGCUUUCUCUAAUUAGUCCCCAGAAACGUUUCUACGGGAACACUAAUUUGAUUUUCCGGGGACAACGUUAAUUUGUUAAAACCUAAUUAUUUUUACAGUAGAUUACAUUAAUUUUCAGGUUGAAAAGAUAGGAUAAUUUUACCUCCAAUGGCUGUAAAAAGAAGUAAUUAUUUCGUUAAGAGUACAGUGGUGUUAUACAUUUUAAAAUUUGAUUAUAUAUGAUGUGGUAUUCAUUUACUGGUUGGUGAAAUAAUUUAAUUAACUUACUUAGAAUUAAGGGUUUAUACAUUGAAUUGUCUUAAUAAAGUAAAAUUUUAUAAAAAAAUAUAUAGUUGUUUGGAGUAGAAUUUUAGCAAAAUCAAAUAGUUGUUUUGUGGUAGGAUUGAGCUUUUUUUUUUUUUUUGGGUGAAAAUUUAACAUUAGAGGUAAUAAAGUAUUACAAAAUAUAUAAAAGACUUAGAGUGGUGUUUGGUUGAAAGGAGAGGAAGGGGAAAGGAAAGUAAUUUAAGUUCCAUUCUUGUUUUCGUUGUUUGGUUAACCAUAAUUUAUAAGAAUUUAAUUUUCAUUACAAUUUAAUAUACAUUAUAAUGUAGAAUUUAGAUUCCACACCAAAAAGUGAUAAAUUUAAAUUCCUCUAAAAGCUAAAACAUCUAAAAUUACCCCUUCAAAUCUUUUGUUAACUUUGUUUAAAAUUAUCAAAUUAUUAUUAUUUACAAUUUUAUUUUAUCAAUUUAAUAUUGUAGAUGAAUAACUUUAUAUUAAUAAAAGUUAAAGUAAGGAUUUAAUAAAAUCACUUUAUUAUUUAAUUAAUUUACAAAAAUAGAAAAUAAAUUUAAUAGUUGUCGGACUGCACUGCUGCCAUCGAUACUGCCGCAUGGGACGUCAUGCGGUAUCGUUGGACUAACCAACCAAUGAGCAAAGUCAUUAUAUUCUCAUAGAGGUGAAAAAAUGAAUUUGUUUUCUUCAAAUCCAAUUAAAAAAUUUUUUAAACUUUAUAACUUUCUCAUAUCUGGACAAACAUCAAGUAUAUUGGCUAAAUAAAUUGCUUGAAUCUAUAGAUCAUUAAUUUCUUAUAAUUUUCAUAUAAUUCUCGAGCUGGAAUAACAUGCUACAGUGGUGGCCGAUGGCGACAUGUAGUGGCUCCAAUGGCGGUAACAGCGACUCUUUUUUUUUUUUUGAAGUUUGUCAAACAAAAUUUUUAAAAUUAUAAUAUAUUGGUUAAGAAAUUAUUUGUAUUAUGUCAUAAUUUAUUUAGAAACAAAUUAAAUUAGAUUAAUUAUAGACUAAAAUUAUGUUAAUAAACUUUUUAAAUAGAUAUAAUUACAAAUAUAAUUAUAUUAUUUAAAAUAAUUUUUUAUUAGUUAUUUAUGUAGUAUAUUAAAUAAAUUUAUUGUUUAUUUUUUGAAUUAUAUUUAUGAUAAAUAUUGUAAGUUAAAAACUAAAGUGUAAAAUAGUCCAAAUGAAAAAUAAGGCAUUUCCUUUCUUUGUAUAGUUUUGUAACAAAUCAAACAUUAGAAAAGAGUUUCAAUCUUCCCUCCUUUCUUCCACUUUCUUCUCCUCUCAUUUCCUUCUCUUCUUCAAACCAAACACCACCCAAAAUAAAAAGUUGAAAAAUAAAGGGAGAAAAUUUUACCUCGCGUGACGCUGCAUUUAGUACAAGUAAUUUAACAUACUCGUGUCAAAUCUCAGUAAGUACAAGCAUAAAUGGGUGGGUAAAAAACUCAUAACCCACAAUCCAAAUUAAACCCAAACCAAAUUAGGUAUUUGGGUUAGUUUGGACUGGUUGAAAAUUUAUUUAGUUUGGGUUGGGUUCAAUCCAUUUCAAUUUUUGUAGGAAAGACUGUUAACUGUUAAGUGCCAAAAGUCCCUGUAUAAGCAUUGAAUGUCUUACUGUAACAUAGACCAAAAAAUUCUAUUUAGAUGAUACCAAAUUUGCCUUCAUCAUGGUUCAUUUGCCGCCGACUAGAGCUAGCAAAACGGGUCAUUGGAUCGUGUUCGUGUCAUGUCAAAUUUAGGUCGAUCCAAACCCGACCCAUUUAAUAAUCGUGUCAAAAUAUUGUGACCCAAACCCGACACGAAAAAACAAUCGGGUUACCUAAUAACCCGCUUAAUAUCUAUAUAUUAAACAAAAGUUACAUCAAAUAUUUACACAUUGCCAUACAUACGUAUGUACAUACAUACAUACAUACAUAAUUUAUUGAUAUUAUAAAAUAUACAUAUAUAACAAAAUAUUAUACAUUUACACUAUUGAAGUUUUAAUUAUCUAUAUGUAAAUAAUAUUAUAUAUCAAUAUUAUAAAAUCUAUAUGUCUACUAAUAUUUUACACAUUUAUACUAUUGAAGUUCUACAUGUAUAUAAAAUUUUAUAAAUAAAACACUGUGUUUAUAUUUUUCAUUUCAAAGAAUAAAAAUAAAAGAGAAAAUCAUCCCUAAUAUUUGAGUUUUGACCACAAGAACCUGUAAAUUAUUUCAAAAUAGAAAAUAUAAUCGGGUCAUUGAUCGGGUAAAUGGGUCAAAACUUUUAACCCUAACCUGACACGGAAAAAUUGUGUCGACCCGGAGCUAACCUAUUUAAUAAUCGUGUUAAAUUCGACGAUCCAUACUCAUUUAUUCAUGCCGUGUUUGUGUCGAGUAAUCGGAUCGUGUCAAAUUUUGCUAGCUCUACCGCCGACAUCGACAACGAUGGCACCAGUGAAGCAACAAUCACACCGGUGGCUUAAAUCAAUUUUUUAAAUAAUUAAUCAAGAAAUAGCAUUGAUUGUAAAAUUAAUUAUUAAUUAAUUUUUUUUGUAGGUUAUAAAUAGAAAAUAAAAAUUCAAUAAUUUUUGCAUUAAACAAUUUUAAAAUAACAAUUAAGUUUUACCUCAAAAUUGAAAAAGACAUAAGUAUCCAUUUGGUCAUUUCUACAAACAUAGAUGAGUAAUUUUCAAUCAUAACUUGAAUUUUAUUUGGAAAGAAAUUCUUUAAUAAUUUAAAUUUAUCAAAUGCGCUAUUGAAUUAUUUUUAGACUAUAAUGCAAUCCAAACAUGUCCUAUGUCAGCCCAAACUCAAACCAUAUUAAAAUAAUUUGAUUUGAGUUGGGUUAUAAAGACUUUGGGUUAAAUUCAAAUUUGUUUGGUUUGGUUUAGAUUGAUCUUAAACCCAACUAAAACCAAUCCAAGCCCACCCAUUUUAUUACAUUUAUCAAUUAAAGAGAAAAGGAAAAAAAAAAUCCCAAACGGUAUCUAAUAAUAAGUCUGGUACUUAUUAUUAGAUAAUUGAUGCCGCGAUAAAUGGAAGCAGAAUAUUUCUUCUUGUCGAACUUCAGAGAAUGAAAGCUCGGUAGCACCAACAAAGUGUUGGCUCCAAUGGCAAUGGAGUCCCCUUAAGUGGCUUGACUGGGUUUGCUCCCCAGUUCGAGUCGCAGGGAAGUCGCCUUUGUUGGGAGAACCUGUGCCUACCGGUUCGAGCGGGGACUUCUAGUCUGGGUUGUGGUACGGGCUUAAAGGUGUCUCCCACAGUUGGGGCCCUCCCCAGAAUACCUCGUGGAUAAGACCAAAAAAAAAAAAAAAAGCUCGGUAGCUCUUUAAUGCAAUGAACUUUGGAGAUAUUUCAUGUAAUAAGAUUAAAUCUGCUUUGGAGACGGAAUCAAAGUAACAAGAAGUAGACUUUAAUUAAAAUCACAAAUUGUGUUUUGUCCUAUGUAGUAGAAUUGCAAAUUUACAACUGAGCCCUGCCUUGGUGGGACAAGGAAAUUGACUGUACCUUAAUUUAGUGGAUAAGACGGACAAAGCCCAAAUUCAUUUGAUACUUGUGCAAGUUGCUGCUGACUGUUGGUGUGUAGCGAGCAAUUUGUGCUGUUUUAUUCAAGCACUACCUCUGUCCAGUCUAUUAGUAUCAAUUGUGAUCUGCCAACGUUUUCCAGUAGACUAUGUUGAUGCAAGAUUCUGAUUUUCUGUUCGUCCACGACCAAGAUCUCUCCUCAACUAACUCGUCCACAACCAGGAUCUCUCUUCGUAAGAUUUCCUCUCUGCAAACUUCUGCGUACACAGAGACAGGUCAGAGCACACGGGGUAUUUUCCCAACGUAAACUCUCCGACGCUCAAGUCAGAAACGUAGGCUUUGUCUUUCUGGGAAACAUGGGCACUAAUAUUAUGGCUCUUUUUCUGAUCUCUCAAUAGAAAACUCUUUUCUUAUGUUCUAAUCUCAAAAAGUCUAACUCAUUUACCUUUGUUGGUUACCUUUUUAUAGCCUUCCUUUGAAUUCGGCCCUUCCUGCAAUCCACGUCCAUCACCUCUCUCAACACUCGGAAGUGGGUGGGUCAUUACCAUAGUUGUGGCUGGGUGGACUCCGUGCCUUGAUUCUAGGGCAACAAUGCACGUCUUGCCAACCGUCAUUGACUGGGUUUCUCCUCCCCAACCUUUAGCAGGAAUGGCCUUAUGCUCCUAGCAGGAGGCUAGGUCUCUCCCCCUCAACCUUUAGCAGGAAUGGCCUUAUGCUCCUAGCAGGAGUCCGGGUCCCGCUAUGGCCCCGUGGAGGGUGCAUUUGUGAAUGAGCCGAAUAUUCCUGUUCGUGGUCACUUGCUACCAGACUUCAGCUGAAUAUUCCUGUUCGUAGAAUCCUGCUACCAGACAUCUGCUCAUCAUGGUUGGUCUUGUAGAAGUAUUACCCCCAAACAAACUCCACAACAGUGGGAUAAAAACCGUGUACUGAGUCAUUUUCUGUACAUUAGUAAGCGGGGCCAAUGCACAAUUAAUUAUUAAAUACUGGGCUAGUCGCUAGUCCCCACAUUAGCAAAGAGUGAGCCCCAUGAGCCAUAAAAGCCGUCACCUUGCCUUGUGCCGCUGCUUUAUAAACUCACUCAACACACUCGUUCUCUUCAUUUCAGUUCCAUUCUCAUUCACAUGUCCAACAUGACAACAUUGGAAGAAGAAUCAUCCAUCCUGGAAUUCAUUCGCCAGUUUCUUCUCGGAGACUUUACCUCCUUAGACGACCCAAAUCUCUCUUUUCUCCAGCCUAUCGAGUCAGAAUUCCCUGUGAUCAAAUCCGAACCCGACUCCCCCACCCUCUGUGAAAUAAUAAAACCUGAAACAUUGGACAUAACGUGUUUGGGUUCCAGUAAUUGGACAACAUCACCUCAAAAGUAUGGAGAGAAUAUGGUAGAAGAGCACUGCUCGAGGACGGCGGCGUAGAACCUGAGCCGCCUCCGGGUGGCACAGUAGAUGCUGAACCUCCAGUGGAGGUGGAAGAAGUAGUAGGACUUUGGCCAGGAGCUGCAGAUGGACUAGCGCCGGGGCUUCCAUCGGACUCAACUUCAAUCCUAAGUCUCUGGCCGGCUUGGCAAUGACCUGGUAUUCCGCAAAUGAAGUAAUAGAUACCGGGCGCAUUGAGAGUGAUGGCGUCAGAGCCUGAGAUGUGAUGUUUUAUCGAAGCUUUUGCAUUGCAUGCAACGUAAUCUGCCUCAGUCACUUCAUGCACGUCGUGCAUGGCGUUGUUAUACUUGAAAACUGCAUUAAUUAAGCCAUGCAAUUAGGAGAUACAUAAUUAACCGUGUAGUUGUAUAAUAUUCUCGGUUCUUCACAAUGCAAUAUAUAAGAAAUUGCUCAAACAGUAGAAUUAUAAAUAACAGAUUGUGUACGUAGGUGCGCCUUUAGUACUUAGGGUUUGAGCAUAUAUUACUCUGUCAGUCUAUUUGCAAUAAUUACCCAAAAGAUUCAUGUAGUAUAUCUGUUUCGGUUGAAAUAUGCUCAAUUAUUCUAUAUUUUUCACCUAUUAAGAAGAAGAGAUGCAAGAAUGGGUCAGCAGAUAUGCUAGCUAUCGUAGGUCUUUGCUGUAGAGCCUGUACCCAGUGGAAUUUUCCUCUGUUUGAGAUAAAAUCUCUCCUCUAGAGCGAUGCAAAGGAUUUUCGAAGAUGUGAAUUUUGUUAAUUUGCUUCUUAUGCUUUAGUGCCAUAUAUUUUUUGAAGGUAUGGAUUGUUACGUCCCUGCUAAAUAGUUGCGCUUAGAUUUUUCAUUUUGCAAAUAAAAUUUUCUCGUUCUAUCGAAGUUUAACCCCCCAAAAAAAAAAUAGUGGAACAAAUCACAAACUCACCGAGGGUAUCACCAACUUUGAAUUCUUUUCCAUCUACCCAUGAAUAGUAAUCAACUUUGCCUUGUGUCGUCCAGCCGGUAUUGUCACCAACGGUAUAAGUAGUAGCUGCCACGGAGGCUCCAAGGAGAGCCAUGAUUGUUAAGGAAAUCACAGCACUCUUUGCCAUUGCCAUUAUUACUUUAUUAUACUGUUUUAAAAUUAAUUACCAAAACUUCUAAUAACGAGAGAGUUUAUAUAGGCUUUGGUACUUCUUUGCCACCAAGCAUUGCUGUCUAUAUUUAGCUUGAGACUGGUGUUUUAUCCGAGCGAUGUGCAAGGAAAUGAUCGGAAAACAAAAUAUCUAACUUGGACUAUUUAAAAAUAGGAUACAAGUAAUGAAAUUAAUUACUGGAAUAACAGAAAUAACUGUAAUAAUGGGAAAUAACAGAAAAAAUUAUGGAUGUGUUUGUACAUCCCUUUUGAUUCAUCGACCCAUUUUUUUUAUAAAAAAAAAUCACGAGUUAUAAGUCCAUAAAAAUAUUAGAGAAUCUAAAUGGAUUCUCACCGUUCAUUGCUCUUUUAAAUGUUAAUCUAUUCCACGUUUAUAAGCAUAAUAUCUACGAUUUUUAUCAUAUUUACUGGCAACCAGUGGCGGACCCAGGAAUUUAAGCCAGACGGGGCUUGCUAUAAAUUAUCUUCUCUAAGUAUUCGUUAUUUCACUAGUUUUCAUAACUUAGAAGAAAACAUGGCUGAUAAGAAAAAAAAAAUUACUUAUGAAUAAUCUGCAAAUCUUACUGCAUAACAUUGGGUUUGAUAUAUUUUGAUUAUCCUCAGACUAGUUUAUUAUUUUAUUUGUCAGUACAGCAUAAUCAUCAUUAACAAUUAAAAAAAUGCUGAGUAAAAUUUUUUAUUUUUGUUUAUUUAAAAAAACUUUUUGAUUUAAUUUCAUAAUAUUUUUCCAAAUGAGUUUCUUAAUCAUCUUGAAUGCAGUAGAUCUAAAGAGGAUAUAAGAAAAGAAUUGAGAAAAAGAGCCAUAAGCACUAAAUUUUAAAACCAAGUAUGUUGUUCUAAUAAGUGUUUUAGAAUAAACUGUAAAAAUAUUUUACUAAAGAGUGAGACUACUAGCAGCCCUCCAAAAUCUUUAUAAACCUCUAUUGAGGUACCUAAAGAACACUGCUAACAUGUGUUUACAAUUCUAAAAGUCAGAACACCUUGAUUUAGUACCUUACACAGAUGCCGGAAAUGAGAAUCUUUGUACAAAAUAUUUUCAGAAGUAUUUAUGAAUAAUUAUCAAAUAUUUGAUUAACUACAAAUCUCAAUUUUUAUUUAACUAUAUUUCUUUCUUUUUGUUUUUUACCAGUUUUAAAUUUAAAUAUUUGGGACCGAAAUUUUUCAACAUAUCAAAGCAUUAGGGAAAAAAGCUGUCUUAUUUUAAAUCAAUAAUGGAACUUUACUAAAAAAAUUAAUACCGGCAAUGAUCGAUCAGACAAUCAUACAGGGGUGUAGUUAAAGAUUAAGGCUUAACUUUAAGUUUAUGUGAAAAGAGGCCUCUUGACUAAAGCAUAUUUGAAAUUGGGGGAUGUCGAGGAAUUUUGUUGGAUCUUAACAGUUUCACACUUUGAAAUUUGAAAACACAAAAGGGGCUUACAAUUUUCAUUUAAGGCAAUUUCAAGGCCCUGAGUGGGUCUGCUUGUGCUUGCAAUUAUGUCUGACUCUAAUUAUAUUUGGAGUAAUGCACUAAUUUCAAUGGCUCUAAUAUUUGGGCCCUAACUAGUUUGACAACUUAUUUGUAAUUAGCAUAUCAACUAUAUUAGGAUGUAACAGGUAGUAGCGGUUUUAGCAUUAAACAAAUUAAGCAGCUUUUCAGGCUUCAAUGCUUCAUAUUUAGAUAGUUAUCAAUUUUUAAGUAUCUAUUUGUUAAUUAGUAUAAGUAAUAAUUUUUUUAUGAUACUAAAAUAGUUUAAGUUAUUUAUAUAUUUUAAGAGUCCAGCUAUGUUUGGCACCCUAUUUUUUGCCUUUUUCAAAGGAUAAUUUUUGGAUACCUCCCCUGAGAUUUGCACCUGCUACACUUAGAGAGAAUGCUUGCAUAUAUUGACAUAUAGCACCUUUGAAGGUAUAUAAGUGUUAGAGUGCCGUUUGGUAGUUAAGGGUAAAAAUGUAAUUGCAAUAAUUUAAAUUUUUUAAACUAUAAAGAAUUUAUUGACCGAUUAAACAAGUCACUAUGCACCAGAACGCACAGUGAGUAAAUGAAAAAUCACUAUGCACUUUGAAUACAAAGCAUGGAACCAUGUGAAAACUAAGGGGGGAGCAACCCAUCUCCACUUCUUCUCAUCGACUUCACUUGAAAAUAUAUAAUACCCACUUGAUUCAGCUCAAAUGAACUUGUGAUAUAGUGAGAAAUAACCUCUCUGCGAUUAAGCAUGUUAAGAAGUAAAUUAUGUCGGCGGCCAACGUCUAAGCAGUCAAUCAUUGAAGAGCAUAAGGUGUGUAUUUCCAUUGAAACUUGAAGCUUAAUUUUGGGUUAAUUUUCGUCUUGCAUUUUGUUCAAUAGGAUGCUAGGUUGUGCUUCAAUUAAUUGAGAAGAUUGUAUAGCGUUCUGAAAAUUUGAAAUAGUUAUCGAAAUAAGUUGAAAAUCACUAUAAAAUUUUGGGUAAAAUACAAAAAACAUUUGAUUUUUUAAGAGAUAAGAAAGUGAGGAUCUGAGUGCCUGCUAAAUUUGACUUGCUCUGCUCUUCAUAUUAAAAAAAAAAAAACUUGUUGCUGGAAAUGCAAAGUUGUUACUACCGAGAAUGGUUAGUGAAUUUUUUCUUAUUUUUUGUUUUCGGUAAUAGUUUAUAGGUCAUGCUAAUAAAAUGAUGAUUGGCUACUAUCUUUUGUAAGUUGUACUUAAGAUAUUCGUCAAAAAUUAGUUAUAGAGGUUACAGUAAACUUGUUUCUCAAUAGAUUGAUACUUGGGUACAGGGGGAAGAUAAAGACAUGCAUUGUUUGUUCAUAAAUUUAUCCUUUUAUGAUUCAACCUGUUUUAAAAUAGGGUAUCUAUGUAUUUUAGUCUAUUUCAACAUCCUUGUUCUACUGUCUUUCUUCCACUUUGCAUCUUUUUAUAGUUUUACAUACACAUCGCAUUGUUAUGCACUUUGCCCAUUAAUUUAGGAACUACAUAUAUUGUUAUCAAUCUAGUACUGACAAUGUGUUACUCUUUAUCAACUUGAUCAUUUGAUCCAUAAUGAUUGUUACACCAACACAUACUAUAACAUACAUCUAGUUUUAGGUACAUCUUUUAUAUUUUUUAAUAAUUAUUCACAAAUAAUAAUAAUUCACUCAUCAACUGAAUAAAGUCAUAGCUCAUGCAUUUUCUGAUUUUUUGUGUGAAGUUAUUUUUAAGAUUGUUGAUGAAGUAAAUGGCAUUGAUUAAGGCUAAUUACUUUUGUCAUUGUUUAUGAAGCUUAGUAUACUUUGACAUUGAGGCAAUGAUAGAUGGUGAAGUUUUUGCAAUUGGUCUUGUUAUUCUAGAUCACUAUAGCCUGCAUAAAAUAUAGGUUGAUAGUAGGGAUGUUUGUUGGGGUCACCCUAUUAGGGAUGCGAAUGGGAUAAGGGUUCCAGUGAUGUUUCCAUGGCAGACUGAGCAGCAAACAUUACUAACUAAUAAAGACUUGCUAGGGGCAUUUGAACAACUCAGAGUAAAGGGGUAUAGUUGGGCAAGAUUUAUGGUCACACUUGAUGAAGACUUUUUACCAUCUUUUUCUUCAAUGGUCCAACCAAGUGAAACACAAACAGAGGUAGUCCUAAAUUUGAAUGAAAAUGAAACCUUAGCAGAUAAGUGCACACAACAAUUGAACAAUGAUGUGGAAAUUGGAAACGGAGAGAAGGAAAAUUAUUCUAAGGCAUUUUUAGAUGAAUUUGAAUAUGAUUAUAAUGCUGAUGGCUCUGAUCUAGGUGGUUUUGACCCAGAUGGCUCUGAUCUAGAUGAUGCUUUUAGAGAUUAAGGUAACAACUGUGAUGAUCUUGAAGACUACGAAUCUGGGGAUGAUAGUAGAGAUGAGUUAUAUGAUGAUAUUUUCAAAGAACAAGCUUGUAAUAGAUAUGAAAAGAGUGCUGGUGGUUUUGAGUUUAGUUCUGUUGGCUAUGAGAUAGUAUUGAGAUCAUGACAAUUGUUUGUCAAUGUGUGGGAUUUUAAAAAAGUUUUGAAGGCGUUCGCAAUUAGGAAUGGAUUCAGACUGAAGAGGUUGAAAAUGAGAAGAUAAGAGUAACAUGUGCGUGUGCAGCACCAAAUUACACUUGGAGAAUCCAUGCAAGUCCUAAUUAGAACCGAAGGUCGUUCCAAAUUAAGACUUACUGCCCAUGGCACACCUGUCCUAGAGUUGAUGACAAUUAUGGAGCAACUUUAGAUUGGAUAGUAGCCACAUAUCUGCAUCUAUUCAAAGCGAAUCCUGACUUGAAAAUUUCUGUUAUUGUGGCUGCUUUGAUGCAGAGUUAUAGAAUUGAAUGCAACAAUCAAAUGCUAUAUAAGGCUAAAAGGAAAGCACUUAAGUUACUCGGUGAAGACCACAAGACUAGUUACAGUAAAUUGUUUAGAUAUAUGCAUGCCUUAUUAAAUUUCAAUCCUAAUUCCAUUAUCUCUCUUGGAAGGAUUGGCUUGGUAGUGCUCAAUUUCCCACAUUUAAGAGGUUCUUCUUGUGUAUAUAUAGAUAGUAGUAGAAAAGGGAUUUAAUUAAAAGUGCAUGCCAUUAAUUUGGGGUAACAAUUGUCACUUAAAAGGACUAUACAAAAGUGUACUCCUAACAACUGUGAGCAUUGACGCAAAUAAUGAGAUUUAUCCUUUAGCUAUAUGUGUGGUUGAGUCUAAGAAUAAUGAGUAAUGAUAGUAUUUUAUGGAGAAACUAUAUGAUCAAGUGGGUUGUAAUGGUGGUGAAAGUUUAUAUUUUAUGAGUGAUAGACAAAAGGAUGUCCUCAAUGCCUUGGAUAGAGUGUUCCCUUUAUCAAUAAAGAGAUACUACUAUAGAUACAUUUAUGCAAACUUUAAGAACAAGUUUCCCGACUUGUUACUGAAGAAAGUGUUAUGGAGAGCAUGUAGGAGUUCUAACGCUGCUGACUUUAAUUCCCACAUGGAAGAACUAAAGACUAUAACUCCGGAUGGCUAUGAAUGGUUGAUGAAAAUUCCCAUUGCAUGUUAGGCAAAUCGUUUGUUCCUCCCUCACACCAAAUGCAGCCAUGUUACUAAUAACAUGAUUGAAUCCUUCAACAAUUGGAUCAACAAUUUCAGAGGUUUGCCAAUUGUAAGGAUGUCUGGGGAAAUACAAAGGAAAACCAUGCAGUUGAUUUAUAAAAGGCACGAGGCAGCCCUUGAAUGGAAUUGUGAGCUUUCAUAAGUUGUGAUAAGGAAGAUUAUUGAGAGAAUAGUAGAAGCAAAGUCACUCUCUGUCAUCUUUGGGCAUAAUGAGACAUUCGAGAUACUCGAAGACAUGACAAAAAUCACUGUUUUUGAUCUGUUGAGGAAGAAAUGUGACUAUGGUGAAUGGUGUAUUUCUGGACUUUCUUGCAAACAUGCCCUCUGUUGCAUAUAUACAAAGAGGUAUCAUGUGGAAGACUAUAUACAUCCAUAUCUUAAAAAGGCAGCUUUCAUUGAGACUUACAAACAUCAAUUUAAACCAACUCUUGAUGAGAAAAAGUGCCCACUCAUACUUUAUGACAAUUUGCAGCCACCAACAACUAUAAAGACAAUUGACAGACCUCAAACUAAUAGAAGGAAAGAAAAUGGUGAAUCUUCAACCUUCUAGAGAAGCUUAAAUGUAAGGUGCUUUCACUAUGACUAGUGAGGACAUAAUAAGAGGACCCACCUAAGGACAACUAGUGAUUAUGAGCAAAAAAAAAUUAUGGAAAAGGUAAAACAAUUUAUUAAAAUUAAUCUUAAUUUUAACAUAAAAUUACACCUGAUCACUGAAAUAAUUAAUAAUUUUUAUUUUGUGAGGCACCAAUUGCUCAGACUAGUUCAAAUAUAAGAAAUAUAAUGAGCCAAACACAGUCAUCUGCCCAUGAUAAUGGUAAUAUUAAUGUUGGAAAUAUCUGUAGUGAAUAAACAAUCUUAAUUUUGUAGUUCUAUUGUCAUUAAACUUAAAGCAUCCGGCAAAUUUAAGAACAUAGAGCUAAGAAUAUAUGAGAAGAGAAAGCAUGUUAUCUAACCCCAUAUUCUUUUUUUUUUUUUUUUACAGAGAUCAGAUGAUGCAACACUUUUGCAAUACCCAAGUAUCAAAAGAUGGUGUAUCAUCUCUUGUUCACUUAACAUAUAAGUUUGAGUUCUUUUUAUUGAUAUUUUGUUGAAAUGUAGAAACUUUUAUACUAAUGCCAAAAAAUAGGUCCUAUAUGUCUUUCUUGACUUAAUUACAGCAACCUAUUAUGAUAGAUAGUUGCUUUAUUGCAUAUUUAUAUGGUGUACUUAUGUCAAUUGUAAGGGUUGGGUGUGUUAUUGUCUAAGAAAAUGAAUGUUCAAAGUCAAUUUUUGCUAGAAUGCCAAUUAUAUUAUAGUUUGAUUUAAAUUUAUUGUUGUUGCCUAUUGUUUCUGCUCAUACAUUAAGAAUGGAUUCUAUUGUUAUUUCUUAUUAUUUUAAUAAUCUGCUGAUGUUGAGAUGAAGUUCAAUUGAUUUAUAGAAUAGAGGCUUAGUUUGGACAGUGAGCUAGUGAAAUAAUAGUUUAUUUUGAAGUGUCUUGGUUUGUCAAAUAUGCAAUUGUGCUUUAUAAUUGCUUCUUUGGUUUAAAUAGUUAGAGACUUUUUUUACUGAAAUUGACUACCCAGUAAACAAUUGAUUGGAACUUAUUUUACAUGGAUUUGGUUUCACAAGUCUCUGAUCAUACAUUAGGAAUGGAUUUUGUUAUUGCUUAUUGAUAACUCUAUGAAAUGAGAGUUAUUAUGGCAAUUCUAGGCUUUAAAUCAAGAUCACUUAGAGAGUAAAUUAUGUGUUUCUAUUGCAUUUUUGUUUCAUUUUGCAUAAAUAAUCAUUUUAGUUAGUUAGCACAAGAGGAGAAUUUGCAGAAAUCAAUUAAUCAAUCAUUCUUAUUCUUCUCUUGUUUACUCGUUUUAUAUUUAUUUAUGGGGAUGUGUUUCAUGGCUGAAACUUUGUUCUUUAUUUUUCUUUUGCAAACCAUGAACUAAAUUUAUCUGUGGUUGAGUGAUAAACAAUCUUGAUGGUUUAUUGACUGAAUAUAUGUGUUGCUGCAUGUUUGGUGUAGCAGUUUGUUUUGAUAGUAUUUAUGUUUAUUCAUUAUUUCGAUUGAUCACUCAUUUAAUGAUACAAGUUAGGAGAGAGCUGCAAAAUGACAUAUCUUAGGGGAACAUAUCAGAGUAAUACUUGGUUUUAGAUUGAGUUUUUUGGAUUGAGUUUAACUUAUCCCAAAAGGAUCAUACUUAAUCUAAAAUUAGUGAUGAACUAGACAUAGAGAUUCACCUUGUAGGGUAAAUAGAACUUAAGCGUGUAAUGCUAUAUCUUAUGUUGGCAUAAUAAUUUAUUACUGUUAGAUAGCAUAUAGAUAUAAGAUAUCCAACAUGUGACGGCUAAGGAUGCAUAAGGAUUCUGCCCAGUGCUGUAGUAGAUACUGCAGCAACCGAGCCAGCCAUUAAAAAAUAGUCAAGACCAUUAGGAGAGUUUAUUCACUCAACUACUCUAUAUUCCCAUUGGUUUUAUCCUUAAGCUUGACGUGAUAAUUUACUUUGUUGCAUUUUAAUUAUUGCGUUUUAUUUUAAUUAGUAUAUUAAUUUCAUUAAUUGUUUUAUCUUAAUUUACAACAAAAUCUGCACUGUUAAUAUUGUUGUAACAAAUCUGAUAACAUCAAUCCCUGUGGAGACUAUCUUGAAUACUCAUCACUUUAUUACUUGUUGUGUACACUUGCACAUUGACACCAAUAGCAUUAGUAUUUAUACCCAAUACUUAUUAUUUCAAUAAUCUAUUGAUGUUGAGAUGAAAUUCAAGUGAUUCACAUAAUGGAGGCUUAGUCUGGACAAUGAGCUAAUAAAACACAAUUUGUAAUUGAUUUUUUUCCUUUAAACAGUCAUACACACAAGUCAUAAUAAGCUGAAAUUCUUUGCAUUCAUACACAACAAGUUACAAAAAGAUCAAUUGAUUCAUCUUCAUGGCAGUACUUGUUCAUUAGGUACUUUAGGUACAAGUACAUGCAUUGGUUGCAUAAUGCUUAUGUUGCAACUAUAACUACACCCAUUAUUAAAAGUACAACAAUAAAAAUGAAAAAAAAAGAAGUUCAAGAACAAAAUUAUCUUAAUACCACUGCCUUUGCCCUCAUUGUUACGUGUAUCUUGCAUGUGUGAUUUCGAUUCCUUCAAAUUUUUUACAUAAUCAGUAGCAACUCAUAAUUUGCAUGACAUGUUCCUACACCUUUAAAUAUUUCACCUCGAUUGAAGUCAUUUAAGGAUGGCAUCUAGAACUUGAAAUAACCACAACCAUGUUUACUGCCCGUACAACAAUAGUAUAGCUUAUUUGGGUUGUCAUUUGAUUCCAAAAUCUUCAAACUAGCUCUUUUGUUGAACCUGCAUAUCUUAUUUGCAAAUCGAAUGAGGUUUCCAUUAAUCUCAUCCCUCCAUCCUCUGCAUCAUUGGUUGCUUGAUCCUAUGGUUUAAAUUUUGACAUAUAAAUCGAUAAUAUUUUAAAUUUUUUACACUAUUAAAAUAGAUUUCGAGUUAAAUGAUUUAUUUUUACAUUUAUAAAAUAUAUGUAUUUAAAUUAAUUAAUUUUCUUAGUAAUUAAUGAAUUAAUUAAUUUAAUAUAUAGUUAAACUAUAUUUAUUAUUUAAUAACUGUAAUUGACGAUAAAUAUAAAUACAAUUUUUUUUAAUUUAUCAUAACUGUAAUCAAUUUUCUCUCACCCAUUUAAGCAGGGUUCAAACUCCGUAUCCUUUUUUUUUUAAGAACAAGAGGUUUUACUAUCUCAAGUAGAUGAAAUGUACAAAAUAUGAAAAUGAAUUUAAUUUCAUAUUCUAUGUAGUUAAUGUUUUAUUAUUUUUUUGAAAUAUAACAUUUAUUUAACAUAGUAUCAAUUAUUUGAAUAUAUGAUGAAAAUAUAUUAGUUUACUAAUAAUAACAAAGUGUUAGUUUAAAAAUCUGCAAAAUCAUUUUUGUUUGCUUGAACAAGGACUUUUGUAUUGUCCAAAUUUGACAAUUUUGUGAUGUUGGAGUAUUGUGUUCAUGCUGAUAUAUUCAAAAGGUGCUUGUGACAUAGGUCUUGACUUCUAGAGGUCUUGGCUUCUAGAGACAUCACUGUAAUUGAAAAUUUGUAGGUAAAAGAGAAAUGUGUCAAAAUUUAAAAGUCCUUGGCUUUUUUGUUUUUAUAACAAAUAUCAAGACUCCAUUAUAGUUGACUUAGAAAAAGACAAAAAAGGGGUAACACACCUAUGUGCCAACAUAGUUUUGCCCUAUAUUAUGGGAAAACUAAUAUUUAGGCUUUACCUUAUUAUUACUCCUAUUCAUAAUUAUCUAUCUUAUUUGAUAAUCUUAUUCUUAAAAAUAAGAUAUAUUUUUAUGGUAUAUGUUGGUGUAUAAAUACUAAUGCUAUUGGUGUCAAUGUGCAAGUAUACACAACAAGUAAUAAAGUGAUGAAUAUUCAAGAUCGUCUCCACAGGGAUUGAUGUUAUUAGACUUGCUACAGCAAUCUUAACAGUGCAGAUUUUGUGUCUAAAUUAAGAUAAACAAUUGAUGAACUUAAUUUACUAAUUAAAAUAAAAACACAAUAAAUAAAAUGCAACAAAGUAAAUAUCACGUCAAUCUCAAGGAUAAAAUCAAUGGGAAUAUAAAGUAGUUUAGUGAAUAAACUCUUUUAAUGGUCUUGACUAUUUUUUAAAUGUUUGGUUCGAUUGCUACAACAUUUUCUACAGCACUAGGCAGAAUCCUUAUGUAUCCUCAGCCGUCGCAUGUUGGAUAUCUUAUAUCUAUAUGCAACCUAACAGUGAUCAGUUGCUAUUUACCCUACAAGGUGAAUCUUUAUGUUUAGUUCAUCACUAAUCUUAAAUCAAGCAUGUCCCUUUUGGGACUCAAGUAAAACUCAAUUCGGGAAACUUAAUUUAAGAUCAAGUAUUGUUCUUAUAUGUUCCACUAAGAUAGGCCCUUUUGCGGUUCUCUCCUAACUUGUAUCAUUAAAUAGGUGAUCAACCGAAAUAAUGAAUAAAAAUAAAUACUAUCAAAACAAACUGCUACAGCAAACAUGCAGCAACACAUAUAUUCAGUCAAUAAACCAUCAAGAUUGUUUAUCACUCAACCACAAAUAAAUUUAGUUCAUGAUUUGCAAAAGAAAAAUAAAAAACAAAGUUUCAGCCAUGAAACACAUCCCCAUAAAUAAAUAGAAAACGAGAAAACAAGAGAAGAAUAAGAAUGAUUGAUCAAUUGAUUUCUGCAAAUUCUCCUCUUGUGCAGCCCUUAAUCUCUCUCUUGAAUCUUGUUUUUCUUUUGUUUCUUUGUGUUUUUCUCCUUGGGUGACGGCUUUCCUAUUCCUUAUGAUGUGUACUUCUUUUAUAAUUGAAAAUUAGGGUAAACGGAAUCCUAGGGCACGCAUUAGUCAGAUUAGGAAACUGUAGAUCGCAAUUCCUUAUGAUGUGUACUUGUUUCAAUUCUUUUGCAGCUAAGUUUUUCCUCAUUUUUACAAGCCUAUUGUAUCAACAUUCAUUCUAUGAAUUAUAAGCUUCUGGAAACCUACAAUUAUGUACACAAUUUAAGCACGAAUUACUUUAAAUUAAGCAAAACUCAUUAAGACUAAACUAAAAUGAAUAUUUAUGCAAAAUGUAACAAAAAUACAAUAGAAACACAUCAUUUACUCUCUAAGUAAUAUUAAUUUAAGUCUAAAAGUGCUAUGAUAACUCUCAUUUCAUAGAGUUAUCACACCCCCAAACUUAAACCAUUACUUGUCCUCAAGUAAUGACAACAACGCUAACACUUCAAUCACACAGUCAUGCAACAAAUAACUUAGCUCUAUCAUCAAAUUUGCAAGAAUUUUUCCACCCUCAGAUCACAUUCUUAAUCACGCAAAAUAGAUCAAAUUCCAGAGGUGCUACAACAUUACAGAAACAUUGCAUAUAAUUCAAAGGUAGAACACAAAUAUAUUCACAUUUGGGGGAGCAGAAAUCAAAAAUAUACUCAAACUGUGCUACAACAGUAAUAAAAAAAAUUUUUUUCAGUUAAACCCUUCAAUGCAACAUUGAGCUUUCAUGUGAAUGUCUAUCACUUGCAAUGACGACACCCAAUUACUCAUUCAAAUUACAUGUCAGAGUUGCUACAGCAACGCAUUUAGGAUGUUAUAUCUAGGUCUUACCUUUGGACGCCUUUGACUCAAGGCUGAACAUGAGGCUCAUGAACAGAUCAUGUUACUCAGUAUCUUAGGUAGCGGACCUCUUUAUUUUUUAUUCCUUCAUCACAAUUUUUUUUUUUUUGCUUUGCUUUUUGCUUUUUUUAUAUAUAUAUAAUUGCUGCAGCACAGCUCAUAACUCUUGUUGCCUUUGGACUCAAGUUUGCAUAUGGGGUGUAAACUCAACCUUGGUUACUCAACAACUUAAACUAUUGGAGCAGAAUUUAUUUCAUAACAGGCACAAUCCAACAAAAAUUUUCCCCUAAACUUGAGAUAUUUUCUACUCUUUUUUUGGUUUUCCUCGCUCUCUAUAGCAUUCUCAUAAAACUGAACCAAAGUCUAAGUGUCGGGACAGAAAUUCAACCUCUAUCUAUAACUAUCUCUACUUGGCAUUCUCAUAAAUACUGAAUAACACUCAAUUUAUCUUCAUUAGGUUUUCAAAUCCAUACAAAAAUAUUAGAUAACAGAGCUUCACACAACACACAACACAAACAUAAACACAUGCACUCAGAAACACAACCCCCCCAAACUUGAGUGGUGUUGUGUCCUCACAAGCACACAAAACAAAACCACAUAAAUCAGACAUGCAUACACUAAAUAAAAGAACAUGUAGAAUGAAUUAGAAAAUUAAAACUAAAUGAAAGAAAAGUUUUAUAGAAAGAAGUAAAAUAAACUAGCAGGUAGGGAGGUACUCCCCUGUUGCUGGAAGCACUGCUGCAUCAUAGGUUGUAAAGGGUCACUUCUUCUUUGAUCCACUUCUUAAACGCUCCUUAUCAUAAAAUCUGAUCAAUUCAUUUGCUGCUGUAAAAGCAAGAAUGCCUCUGUUGUUUGAGAAUCUUCUGUUAUGUCAUACUGUAAGUGAUGCUGCAACAAUUCCCUCCUGCUCUUUUUGCCCACACAUUGUUUUUUUACUUGCUGCAAUGUAACAUAAAGACAUAAAAAAUUAGAUGCACACUUAAAAUAAUAAAAAGACAAAUUAAAUAAUUUAAAAGCUAAAUUCAAUGCCAUAAAAACUUGAAACAACUUCCCUUAUUGGGUUGUCUCCCAAUUAACGCUUGAUUUUAGGUAUUUCAGCCUGACCUUUCUUGUUUCCUCAACCUGGAUCCUUCAAGAACCGAUCAUUCUUUAGGUUGUUCAUAUCAUCUCUCAUAUAGUACUUCACUCUCGGCCCAUUAACCUUGAAUUCUUGUUGGUCUGGAGUGAGUCCCCUUUGCUGGAUUUGCUUGUCAAUUCUGAAAGGUUGUUUCUCCCACGACCAUGAUAUGUUAGCUGCUUCAUGAUUUUCAUCAUCAAGUUCUUCAAAUGUUACAACAUUAAUUUCUUCCUUACUACAACAACUGUAUAAUCUCUCUGCUACAAUAAAGUCCACAACACUAAUAAAAUUACAAUCUUCAAUCUCAUCAAGACUCUUCAUGGCAUCCAGCACAUUGAAUGUAACUUGCUGGUCAUUUACCCUCAUGGUUAAUUCUCCUUUUUGAACAUUAAUUAAAGUCUUUCCCGUGGCUAAGAAAUGUCUCCCUAAAAUGAUUGGCACUUCUUUGUCUGCCUCAAAGUCUAGCACAAUGAAAUCCACCAGAAAAAUAAAUUUAUCUACAUUCACCAACACAUCUUCAAUCUUCCCUUCUGGAUAGACAUGAGAUCAGUCAGCAAGUUGUAAAGUCACUGUUGUUGGUCUACAUUCACCAACUCCCAAUUACUUAAACACUGAUAAAGGCAUGAGAUUGAUGCUAGCCCCCAGAUCACAAAGUGUUUUGCCACUGUAUUCAGUGCCUAUGGAUCAUGGAAUUGUGAAGCUUCCUAGAUUCUUCAUCUUCUGUGGUAUCUUACUCUGAAGCAUUCGGUUGCACUCUUGUGUUAGAGCAACUAUCUCAAAUUCUCCAAGUCUUCUUUUCUUUGUCAAGAUAUCCUUAAAAAAUUUUGUAUAAUUUGGCAUUUGCUCUAGAGCUUCCACAAAAGGGAUAUUGAUAUGUAGUUGUUUCAGCACUCCCAAGAUUUUGCUGAACUGCUUGUCUUGUUUUUGCUUCUGAAACCUUUGAGGAAAUAGUGGUGGAUGUCUAAACUGUUGUGCUGCAGCAUGUUGUGCAGAUUGCUUCUCUUUUGCUCUACUCGGCUCUGUUGUUGUUGGUGUUGUAGCUUCCUCACCACCAGGUGCUAGAUCAUAACUUUCUGCAGAUGUUGUAGCAGAAUUAUGUUUAUUUGCAUUCUGAAAAGUGGAAGACUGUGACUUCUUCUCUACUUGAGUGUCUUCUUGGCCUUGGUUGGACUCAAUUCUUCUAUUUGGUAUACCAACUGAACUAUCAGCCUCCUUUCCAGAUCACAAGUUUAUCACUUUGCAGUGCUCUUUCCCUUCUCUUCUUGGGUUCUCUGUGUUACUGCGUAAACUGUCCUGAGGUCUAUUGCUUACUGCUGUAGCAAGCUGUCCAAUUUGAUUUUCUAAGUUUCUCAAAUAUGCAGCAUGACUUUGGACCACCGUUUCAUUAUUCACAAUAUAAUCCUUAAUUAAACCUUCAAGAGAGCUGAGUUGAUCAUUGUUGAUGCUUAUUUUCUCUUGAUUUUGCUGAUAAAAUCCAGCUGGUUGAGCAAGUUUGUUCUGUCCACUGGAUGCUGCAGCAGUCUGGUUCUGAUAACUCCUUGAAAAGUUCGGGUGCUGUCUCCAUUCAGGGUUGUAAGUGUUUGAAUAUGGAUUGUCCUGGUUUUAUCUAUUGAAGCUCCCCACAUAAUUGACUGAAGUUGGAUUCCUAGGACAAUUGUCAAAUAAAUGCCCUUUUCCACAAUAAACGCAUGACACAUCAGAAAUUUGGUUAACAGUUGUUGAAGCAGUGGUCAUAGCCUUUAUCAUCUUUGUUAAUGAAGUUACUUGGGCUGGCAAUGAUGUCAAGGCAUCUACGUUAUGGACUCAUGCUGUUCCUCUCACUGCAGCUUGUCUGGUUAAUGGCCACUGAUAGUUAUUGUUGGCUAUCCUCUCCAAAAUUUCAUAAGCCUCAUUGUAAGACUUAGAUAACAAGGCUCCAUUUACUGAAGCGUCCACCAUCAAUCUAGUGCUUGGCUUGAGACCAUUAUAGAAAGUUUCCAACUGUAUGCAGUAAGGAAUACCAUGAUGAGGACAUCUUCUGAGUAACUCCUUAAAUCUUUCACAUGUAUCAUACAAGCUCUCAUCUUUAAGUUGAUGGAAAGAUGUAAUCUCAUUCCUCAGUUUUGCAUUCUUGGUUGGUGGGAAGUAUUUCAUCAAAAAUUUAUCAGCCAAGUCAUUCCAUGUAGUGAUAGAAUCUGGUGGUAGAGAAUUCAACCAUGCUCUUGCUUGAUCUCUCAAAGAAAACGGGAAAAGUCUGAGUCUCAACGCUUGUUGCGAUGCUCCAGCAAUCUUGAAAGCAUCACUUACUUCCAAAAAUAACUUAAGGUGUAAAUGAGGAUCUUCGGAUGGCAAACCAUUAAAUUGCCCCACUGUUUGAAGCAUCUGAAACAUCACGGGUUUGAGUUCAAAAUUUUCAGCUUGAACAUCGGGUUUAACUAUUCCUGGACGUAUGGCUUGAGGAGUCAACACUGUGUAGUCUUGAAUGGUUCUAUCUCUAUCAUUCGCCAUGUGAAUAAUGUUGUUGUUCCCUGGUUGCUUUUGAACACAAUGUCCAUUCAAACCUUCAUGUACAUCGACUGGUUGUAUCUCCUCUAUACGGUUCAAGUUUCUCAAAUCUUACAAAUCAUCCAUUGCUACAGCAGCUUGUAAUUCCCAACGCUCUCUUCUUAAUCUCCUUGCAAUUCUUUCAAUUUCUGAAUCAAACUGGAAUUCAACAGAUUUAUAUUUGCGCAUGCAAGGGUUGCUAGAUCACCUAUGUCAACAAAAUAAACAAACUAAAAUAAAAUAAAAAAUUAGCACCGUUAAAACUAAUUUCACAAAUCACAAUGAACAAUCAAUCCCCGGCAACGACGCCAAAAACUUGUUGGUGUAUAAAUACUAAUGCUAUUGGUGUCAAUGUGCAAGUGUACACAACAAGUAAUAAAGUGAUGAGUAUUCAAGAUCGUCUCCACAUGGAUUGAUGUUAUUAGACUUGCUACAGCAAUCUUAACAGUGCAGAUUUUGUGUCUAAAGUAAGAUAAACAAUUGAUGAAACUAAUUUACUAAUUAAAAUAAAAACACAAUAAAUAAAAUGCAAUAAAGUAAAUUAUCACGUCAAUCUCAAGGAUAAAAUCAAUGGGAAUAUAAAGCAGUUGAGUGAAUAAACUCUCUUAAUGGUCUUGACUAUUUUUUUAAUGUUUGGUUCGGUUGCUACAACAUUUUCUACAGCACUAGGCCGAAUCCUUAUAUAUCCACAGCCGUCGCAUGUUGGAUAUCUUAUAUCUAUAUGCAACCUAACAAUGAUCAGUUGCUAUGCCAACAUAAGAUAUAACAUUACACGCUUAGGUUCUAUUUACCCUACAAGGUGAAUCCUUAUGUCUAGUUCAUCACUAAUCUUAAAUCAAGCAUGGCCCUUUUGGAACUCAAGUAAAACUCAAUCCGAGAAACUCAAUUUAAGAUCAAGUAUUGUUCUGAUAUGUUUCAUUAAGAUAGGCCCUUUUGCGGCUCUCUCCUAACUUGUAUCAGUAAAUGGGUGAUCAACCGAAAUAAUGAAUAAAAAUAAAUACUAUCAAAACAAACUACUACAGCAAACAUGCAGCAACACAUAUAUUCAGUCAAUAAACCAUCAAGAUUGUUUAUCACUCAACCACAGAUAAAUUUAGUUCAUGGUUUGCAAAAGAAAAAUAAAGAACAAAGUUUCAGCCAUGAAACACAUCCCCAUAAAUAAAUAGAAAACGAAAAAACAAGAGAAGAAUAAGAAUGAUUGAGCUCCCAGUUGAUUCACUAUAAGAAAUCUGACUUUCUAAGACAAAUGUUUUUAUGACAUUUGUAGAUUUUGUCAUAAAAUAAUACUUGGUGUGAUGAUCUUUUAAAGUCGUAGCAAAUAAUCUCGUCCUGGCUCAUGUUAUAUUUUGUAAUGAAUAAUAUUCAUUUUAUGACCCAAUAAUUGGUCACUUAAUCAAAUGUUUUGCGACAAAUAUAAAAUUAGCCACAAAAAGACAUACUUUAAAUUCCCUCCAAAAUUGAUCAGUUUUUGACAAAAUAUCAUCUUUUAUGACAAAAAAUAUGGUAGCGAAAUGUAAUUAUAAGUGACAUAAUUAUUUCGUAACUAAAAGAGGGAUGUAAAAUUGAUCAAACCAUUUGUGACAAAAAAUAUUAGUCUCCAAACCUAAUAUGGUUUUGAUUAAUUUUUAAGACCCUAUUUAUUUUUAUCACAAAUAAUUACCUAUUGUGACAAAACUAAAAAAUAAUAGUUUAAAAUUUUUUCUUGAGUAAUUUUGUAUUUCAUGACUUUUUUUUUCAUAGACACUUUAUUUAGUAUUUGUUUCAUAUUUUUUUGGCAAACUUUACAACAUUGACAAAAAACAGAGAAUAAUAAUCAAUAUUUUUAAAUUAUAUUAUAUUUUGUGACCAACAAAUUUUUUAUAUGUAUUUUAUUAAAUAAUUGAUAAGAUAAGAUAAAAUGUCAAUAUUAAAUAUCAAGAAAAAAGGUAUUUAACUGAUAGGUAUUUUAUUAAAUAAUACAUUUUUCUUGAAAUUUAAUUACGCACAUUAUUUUUUAUUAUUUAGCUUCAUACAAAUUUGUUUAACUAUGUUAGAUUAAUAAAAAUUAAAAUAAUAGCCUUAAAAUAAUUAACUUAGAUUAUUAAAAAAUGAUAAUAGACUUUUUUUAAACCAAUAAUAACAAACUUAUUAUAGCUUCUUUUUUAUUUUUUUAAAAGAAUCCUAUAAUAAUUAAUUAUGUUGGAGUUACAGAAAGAAUACAUAUUAUAUUGGAUAAAAAUUAAAAUAAAAGAAUAACUAAACUUAAAUAGAAUAUAAGUUUCUCUAAUGAAAUCGUGAAAUACAAAUAAAUCCCCUCCCACUGAUUCCCUGGCCAAUUUUGUUGUUAUCCAAACAAAACCAUUUAAUUUCCUCCCACUCUCUCCCAGGCCACUUCACUUUAAUUGGUUUUGUAUUAAAAAACUACCCUAUCUUUAUCUUUUGUAAUCCUUUCCAAUUUAUGCGUGAGUGUGUGUGAAUGAUGAUAACAGAACAAAAACGCAUGACUAUGGAGGCCACCUCACUUUGCCGCCGCCCAAAAGCACGCCACCCUCACCAGUCCACUCAUGCAUGCCAAAAUCAGCCACUCAACAAAAUUCACUCUCAUCUCUCGUUCUACUUCGAAAUUGUGAGUAUAUAUAAACUCAGCCAAUUUAAUUUUGAUUAGUUUAAUUGUGAUUGGAUUAUGUGAAAUUCAUAUUUUUGUGUUUGGUAAAAUUAGGGAUUGAAAUUCUUAGAUCUAUUAUUUGAAUAUUUUUAUGCUUAUCAGGUGCUUGAUAAAAUUCCUAAGAGAAUCUAGUAAAAGAAAAACAUAAAAUAUAUGCAAAUAAAUGAAGGAAUUUGAAGCAAAGUUUAGUAGGUUUUGAGAAACUUUUGCAAAAUUAGGAUAUUAAGAUGAAUUUGUUUUUCAAUUUGAGCAGUGGGUUUAGGUGUGCUGAUAUCAGAUUUUUUUUUCCUAAUAUUCUUUCAUAAGAACUUUCGAAAAUGGGAUCUUUCUAAUUUUUGUUCACUUCAACUUGGUAUGUAAUUAAUCAUCUUUCGUUAUUUUUUUUAAGAUAAUUAUAGCUAGUAUUCAUAUAGUAAAAAGAGUUAAUAAGUUAUUCGAGUCCAGCCGAUAUAAUAAUAAGUUAAGCUACAAACUUUUAAUUAUAAAACACAUGUGUUGGUUGGAAGGACGAUUUUGAAGCUUGGGUUGCUAAAGUUUGCUGAAAAUAUUGUUGGCUUUGCUGGAUUUGCUAGGAAGUGUAGAUGAAGUGACUAAAUAAAGGUCAAAAAGCCUUUUUUUCCCCAAGUGGUCGUUGUAUGUUUAGUCAAAAUUAAUAUGCUUAUCUUCUUUUGUACUGGGAUAACAAAAAAGUAUGGAGAGAGUUUCCUCGAUUACUUUGUUUAAGAAAAUGUAUUAGAGUGAGCGAAAAAGGUUCAAGUAGUCUCCAUACAAAAUUUAAAUGUGUAAGUUAUCUUAUUUUUAUUUUUUGACUUAAUCUUUUAUUUCUUUCAACUUUAUAUUUAUUGUACUGUAAAUGUUGAUUUAUUGACUGCUUAAUAAUUUAAUUUAGUUCAAGUUUGACACCAACUGUUUAAUCGAUUAAGUUCAGAGCUUUGGAUGUAAAAUUUGUGCAAGUGAAUCGAGGUUGAUUAUGUGCUUGUAAUCUUGUGAUUAUAUUGUUAAUUUGAAGUCAUAAUGAAAGCAAGUAUGUGCUUGUAAUCUCCUGUCUUUCAUUUAGAAUUUUUUCCAUUUUUUUAUUGGAUGAAAGAAUUGAUUGCGGAUAUGUUUCAUUGAGAAUUUAAUUAUUUUUGCAUUCUUACCUAAAUAUUUUUAUAUAUAGCUAUUGCCUUGCUAUUUACUAUUCUUUCAUUUUGGCAAUAAGAUUUUCUUUCAUAAGAUUAUUCUCCUAUACCAAUUAAGUGUUUUCUCAAGUUUUUUAUUAUUAAUAUUAUUUUUUAAUCAUGUAAAGACAAAUGAUAGAUAGAGAAAAAUGAUGUACCAAUAAUAGAUGAUCAAAUUGUGAAAUACUUUUGGAAAAAUCUUUAAUUUUAUAAAGAUAAAAAAAUGACAGGUACCUUCAAAGUCAUCUUCUACUACAACAUUGUCUUAGCACAACAAGGAUAAAAAGUUAAAAUCAAGGAAGAAGAUAGCAAAUUUAAGGAAGUUGAAGCAUUCAUGAAACAACAACCUGUUGUUUACUUAAUUAUGCUUUUGUGUAAUGUUUCUUUUAUUUUUCUUCUAUGAUGUAAUCUUAUUUUUAGACUAUUGAUUUUUUACCUUUUUGAUUUUAGAUUUCUUUGUAAUGAAUUAUAUUUAUGUUAAUAAUAUUUUUCACUUCAAAGUUCUUUUGUCAUUAAAUUUUGAAUUCUAUGACUACAUAUUGUUAUUAAAUUUAUGUGAGACUAUAAAAAUUGUCCUUAAAAUAAAUUUGAGACUAAAUUAAUUACCAAUUGUAUUUGUAAAAAUUGUCACAAAUGAUAACUACUUGAGACGAUUGUGUAAUGUCGCGAUAUGUAAAUUGUCAACGAUUGGUAAUUGUAUCAUUGAACCUCUAAAAUAACGAUUUUUAGUAAUUAUCGAGACUAUAUUUACAUACUCUUGAGACAAAUAUUAUAGUCAUUCUAAAUCACCUAUUGAGACCAAUGUUUUAGUCACUAUAAAUCACCUAUUGAGACAAAUAUUAUAGUCACUGUAAAUCACAUAUUGUGACAAAUAUGAAGUGUCAUUGAUUGCAUUUUUGAAUCUCUAAUUUGACCAUUUUGAACACUAUUUGUGACAAUUUUAACUUAAUUUUAAGACAAUGGUCUUUGUCACAAAACAUAUUUUUAACAUGACGAAAGUAAUUAUGGUCGCUAAAACCUUUUAAGACGGUCUUUCCGUGACUAGCGUGUGACAAUUUAUUUAUCAUCAUAGAAAAUAUAAGGUGACUAAUAUGUUAUCUUGAGUGACUAAAUUUUUUGCAAUAAAAUAUCAUUUUUCUUGUAGUGAUUUUGUAAAUUCUCCUCUUGUGCAGCCUUUAAUCUCUCUCUUGAAUCUUGUUUUUCUUUUGUUUCUUUGUGUUUUUCUCCUUGGGUGAUGGCUCUCUUAUUCCUUAUGAUGUGUGCUUCUUUUAUAGUUGAAAAUUAGGGUAAACGGAAGCCUAGGGCAAGCAUUAGUCAGAUUAGGAAACUGUAGAUCGCAAUUCUGCAAGUAUCCCGCACAUAAUUUUCUAUGUCGUUGUUUUAGGAUUGCUACAGCAACGGCUACAACAACUGCACUGUUCCAGAUAGCUAAGUUCUUCCUCAUUUUUGCAAGCCUAUUGCAUGAACAUUCCUUCCAUGAAUUAUAAGCUUCUGGAAACCUACAAUUAUGCACACAAUUUAAGCACGAAUUACUUUAAAUUAAGCAAAACUCAUUAAGACUAAACUAAAAUGAAUAUUUAUGCAAAAUAUAACAAAAAUGCAAUAGAAACACAUCAUUUACUCUCUAAGUAAUAUUAAUUUAAGUCUAAAAGUGCUAUGAUAACUCUCAUUUCAUAGAGUUAUCAGUAUAAUUAUUAUUUUAAAUUUUUACUUCUUUAUUUUUCUACUACUCACUAUAAGAAAAAAGAGAAUUAUUGAUAUUUAAAAACUGUCAAAUAAAUGAAUAUUUGACCAUUAAAAAGUGCCAAAUAUUCCUGUGUCAAAUAUGCUUAUUUGACAUUUAGUAAAAUUGUCAUUUAUUUUUGUCAAUUAAUAAUAAUCAAAUAUUUUUCACAAUAUAAGAUUGUCAAAUGUGUAUGACACUUAAUAAUAGUCAUAUACAUGUGACAUUAUUCAAAAUGGUCAAAUGCAAAUGACUUGAUAAAAAUAUCAAAUAUUAUAAUUCCUUGUCUUGGGUUGCACAUAAUAUAUAUUAUAACAUUGAAACUUGAUAAAAUUCAAAAAAUUUCAACUAACUUCAAACACCAUAAUAAAGCAUAGGAAACCUGAAUUCAUAUUAAAAUGAACUUGCAUUGUAUGUAUAAAUGUAUCAAAUGUCUUAAGUAUAAUUCUAAAAUAAGAUUGUUUCUAAAACUAUACAUUGAGCCUAUAGUUAGCAUUCCACCAUCGGUCCAAAAGUUUUUCAUAGCAGCAUUGUACAUACAAAAGGAAAAUGUGUUCCUGUGCUUAAAAUCACAUUAAAAGCAACUCCAAUACUGAUCCCCAGAACCAACAUGGGUUGAAACAAAAGUGCAAUGUCAUAGUCGAUAACGGGCAUAUCCAGUGUGGGAUGCCUUUGCCUUAGAUUGUAGACAACAGUAGCAACCGCAGUACCACUGAUCAUACCUACUCAGUCAUGAGGGUUAAAACGACUAUGAGAGUAAGCAUAUGAUUGUCUUGAACAACUAAGAUUGUAUCUGUAAAAGAGGGGUUUGUUUCACUUACAUUUUGAUAGUGCUACAGAUGAUUUUGGAUCAAAUCCAAUAAUCAGAUUAAGUACAGGAACAAAUAUGCCACCCCCACCAACACCACCUACACUCCCACAUAGCCCUACACAUCAAGAAACCAAAAUUACUGCCAUAUACUACUAUUAUUGUUUAAGGAAGAGGCUAAAAAAGUAAGUCAUGGUUACCAGUAAGGCAUUGACAAAUUUUGAUUGAAUUAACUGAGAGCUUUUAUUAUGAAUCCAACUAGAUGAUAUAGUUGCCUUAUGCAAUGAAAGCAUAAGAUAUCUAUGCACAAAGAGAAGGAAAAAUCUAUGCAUGAAAAAUAUUAACAAUAAACUAAUGUACUUCAAUUGAAUCAUAUGCUAUUUACCUGCAUUACUUGUCUCUUUUGCAUUUUUUUUCAAAUCAAGUCACUAACAUAAGUGGUCCAAUCAGAGCGAAUUUCGUUGAUCUCAUCUUCAUUAUAAGUAUCUUUUUCAUUAAACUGACAUCAAAAGACAGAAAACUAUAUUUAUUUGUCACUCCUUCAAUUCAUAGACUUCAUUUUAACCACAUUUCUCUGUAAAAUCUACAAUAAGUUUAAGCUAUGUUAAUGAUCUAACCUUUGCACAAAGUAUACUUUGAUCUGCAAUAAUCUCCUUCAUGAAUCGCAUGACAUAGUAGCCACAUUCAACAUUACCAAUUUGCGUAGGCACAUUAACAUCAUUCCAUUUCAAAUUAAUCUUUUUCAUUUGCUGUCCUUUUUUGACAAGAAACAUUCAAAUCCCACUACAAAAAAUACAAAUUAAAUAUGAAAUAUUAAACUCAAUAAUUAUAUAUAUAGCAAAAACCACUAGUACACUUAUAGCUAAAUAUCUUUAAUAUACUUACACUGUUACAAUUUUUUUUAUAUCAACACUGAUUUCAUUUCUCACUGAAUUCAAAUAAUGAACAACCAUUGAGGGCAAGUCGAUCACAAGCAAGAUCCAAUGACAACUAUUAACAAAUGAAUAAAGAGUUAGAAAAAAUUACUAAUUAAAAAGUAAAAACUAAGUAGAUAAACAAAGAUAUUUAAAGCAACAAAAUAACUAACCUAGGAUUAUAUGGUAAGAAGAUAAAUUAUUUUGCACUCAAUUCUUGGAAGCGAUCAGCAAGAGUUUUUGCUUUCUGUUUGAAAGUACUCUCAUCCAAAAAAGAAAGAGUGGUAGGAUGAAUGAACCCAAACUUUUCAUUAAUUAGCCUGGCCUUCGUUUCAGCACAAAGAUAUCUAGUAUAUAAGAAAAAGCGCUAGGUCAAUUAAAGUGAAACAAAAAUAUUCGACAAAAUAUAAAGCAUUAUUGAAGUAUCAUACCUCAUGUAUACAGCAAUGCAGUUUUGUGAAAGCUCUUGCAUAUCAAUAAGAUCUUGAAUUUCCUCCAAAGUGAGAUAUGUAUGCAAUUUGUAACUAAACGUGUCCUCAAAAUCAACCUUAACUUGGGAACCAGGUUUCAUAACUUUCUUUACCAUUUUAUCAAAAACUUGUAUGUCAGGAGGUUUUUUAAAUGUUUGCUGAACUAUGGGAGAGUUUACUUCCUCAUUCACCUCUAAUUUUUCUUUAAAAGGGUUGAUAACUGAUUUAGACACCUAGAAAUGCAAACAUUCAAAUAUGAUUAUUACUUCAAUUUUAAAUAAAGAAAUAAAACAAGAAUUAAAGCUAGUAAUAUAGGCCAGGUACCAUUGGGGUGUUAGCAUUCACAUCUAAUUUCCCCUUGGAAGGCUUUACAGCUGACUUAGACAUCUAGAAAUUUAAGCAUUCACAUAUGGUUACAAUUUAAAUUCUCAAUUAAAGAAUUAAAAAAAAGUAAUAUAUGCCAAAUUCAAUACCUUGUUUACUACAACAGCUUGGGAAACAAGCUUUUCUUGCCAUAAUAUGUGCUGUCCUAACCCAUCACUGACGUAAACAAGCUCACUAGUCCUGAUUGGAAGAUGGGCAUCUGGACUUAAUACCAUAUCAAUUACAACUAAAACAUUUGACUUCCUAUACUCCAAAAUAGUUCCAGUAGCAACAAUGUUUUCUUUACAUCCUACAGCCAACUGACAAGUUUGAUCCUAACCAAAAAAAGUAAUAAGAUUAUUAAAUAUGCACUUAAAGUAUAAAUUCAAAGAUUAAUUUAAUUACUUGAGUGUGCGUACCUUAUUUUUUUGCUUUUCAAAAAUUGGAUUUGUUUUGUUCUUUGUCUCGUUAGACACAUCUUGUGAUCCAAAUCUGUUGCUACAGACAUUGGAGUGUCUUGCUUUUGGUGAAGAUUUUGAGAGAUCAUGGAUAGUAGCUUUCAUCUUCACUAUUUGUUCAUUCAACAGCCUCUUCUCCUUUUGCCAAUCAGAUUCUAAAUUAACAGUGUGAAAGAAAGAAGAUGGCUUGACUCCUCUUCCCUUCCCUGUAACAUGCCCAUUACGCUCAGGCUUCUUUAAUGCUUGGGCCAAAAUAUCAUUCUCACUAGAUGUGGUUAUAACCCCUGAUUUUGCUAGCUGGGUCAACUCAUCCUACAAGAAUAUAAGACCAUUAUUCAUGCAACAUACAAGGAAUUGAUGGAAAAUUGCUCAAAGAAUAUUAUACUUACAAUUGUAUGCACAACAGGUAUCACAACUGGAUGAUAUCCACCAUUUGGGUUUCGACAAGCCCUUUUCCAUGCUACACUUCUAUCCACUUUCAAAUUGGGAUUUCCACAUUCUUUUUUCUAAUUCCAAUAGCAAUGUGACCAAUGUUAAACAUACAUCAAGUGCUAAAAAUAAUUAUAAUUUUUUUAUGAAAAAAAUACUUACUAUUUCUUCUUCUAAUCCAUUAUAACCUUUUCGACCAAGGUGAUGGUUGUAAAGAUUUAGUGCUCGUCUUUCUUUUUGAAGGCCAAUAAGCGUCUAAUGCAUAUCAUACAUAUGUUUAUUAGCAUUAACAUAAAUAAAAUAUAAAAAAAAUAAUGUUCACAAUAAUAAAAAAAGAUUACCUUAAAUUCUUUGGAUAAUCGAUCAUUAACAAAUGCAUCCUAAUGACCUUUUUGUAUGAAAGAGUACAAUAACGGUGGGUUACGCAAAUGAUUUGGAUGGGCUUUGUACUUUUUAACAUGUCGUGUGAGAUUAUAUCUAAAAGAACGAAAUGAACUUCCACCAAUUUGCAAACAUUGUCUUUUAAAUCGAUCAUCCACGUCAAACGAACUCUGUAAGACAUGAAAUAACAUAUUUAAACUACUAACUUUCCUGCAAAUGCAUCACAUAAUAUUCAUUUAGUUUUAUUAAUAUUAAAAAAUGAUAUUGUUUGCAACCACAAGAACAACUGAUAAAAUUAUAUAAUUAACCCCAAAAAAUAAGGCAAUGAGAUCACAAUUUUACUAAUUAAGAAUGAAAGUGAAAAUUAUUUGUGCGUUCUUUGUUUGUUGAACAAGAACAAAUAUAAGACUUAGUAUCAAUUAAAAAUACAAUUAAUUCAAGUAUAACACUAAAAUUAUCAAACUAGAAAGAGAGAAUUAAAAAAAAUCAAAAUUAAAAGAAAAAAAUACCUGAAAUUCAAGAAGCGAAUGAAGCUGAAGCAAGCUGAACUUCUUCAUGGGUUCUUCUUUAUAGGUUGAGUGAUUGGAUGAAAAAAUGAGAGAUGACUGUCAUUUAUAAUGAGAAUGAAAAUGUAUGAAACAGACUAAAUUGAAGCAAUAAUCACUUCUUAGAGUGAGUUUACAGACUCAAUAAAUUAAAAUCUCAUUAAUUAAUAAAAAUCAAUAACAUUACUUCUAAUUUGCAAGCAAUUUGAGAAUUGUUGCAGUUCUGUAAGUUUCCUUUGUUAAAAUGUAUUAAACGGACCAAAUUGAAGCUAAGUGCAUUACGUUAAUAUAUUACGAGAAACAUCUCAAUAAGAUGCUUGUUAAAAACAAAAUAAUCUUUUAAAGAGACAUUUCAUCAAACAAGUAAUGUGCAUUCAAAUAGCAGAGCAGAUACGACACUUGGAAUCAAUUAAAUCAACCCUAGAUUGUUUUAAAAUAUAAAUAAUUCAACUAUAACCCUAAAAUUAUCAAACCCCGAAAGAGAGAAGUAGANNNNNNNNNNNNNNNNNNNNNNNNNNNNNNNNNNNNNNNNNNNNNNNNNNNNNNNNNNNNNNNNNNNNNNNNNNNNNNNNNNNNNNNNNNNNNNNNNNNNAUAAAAAAUGCGAGGUGAUUAUUUUAAAAAAAUAUUUUUUUGAAUUUUCAAAAAAAAAACAAAGGCAGUCCAUAUGUGAUAUGUGAACGAAACAAGCUCACAAACAAAAAGCAAGCUGAAAUUCUUGGAAGACGGGCAAGAUGGGCAUUUGGACUUAAUACCAUAUCAAUUACAGGUCCACAACAUGUGCGGUUUUUGUUUUUUUCUUAAGUCAAUAAAAGGAAAACGUAAAUGGUAAUUAUUCAAUAAAUAUAUAAUAUAUUUCCACUUAUUUGGUAAAACGUCAUAAGUAUUUGAUGUUUAAAUAAAUUGUCAUUUAUAUUUCACAAUUACUCAAUUUUUCACAAAAUGUCAUAUAUAUUUGAUAUUUCUUAAAAAUUAUCAAAUAAAAAAUGUCAAGUAUUCUAUUUUUUCUUGUAGUGACUCCCCCCCUCCCCCCAAAAAAAUCAAUGCUUUCCCUUUUCCAAAAUUACUCAAUAAAAAUUGUUAACAUAAGAUUGUCAGAGAUUACUUUUAGUAUUUUAUCGGUGAUAUCAUUCUAUUUUUAAUUCUAUUUUUCUUAUUUUUUAAAAUUUAAUUUAAUUUAUUUUUAUUGAUUUAUGGCUUGAAUAAUCUAAAAAAAGAUUGUGUUUGUUUAUUUUCUUGUUAUUUAUAUUUGAAAACUUGUCAACUAGAAAACAUGCAUUAGAAUAUGAAAAACUAUUAAAAAAAAAAAGGAGGGUAGAAAAACUAGUCCAAUAUCAAAAAUCUAAGCACUUCCUCGGUUUGAAAAUAAUUUAAAUAUUUCUUUAUUAAAAAUAAACUGAAAAUAAAUAUUUUUGUUCUUUUUUUUCUCUCUUGUUAAUAUCACACAUGGACAACAGUAGAGGCGGCAAUUCGAGUUAAUGGAUCGUGUUCAUGUUAUGUCAUCAAAUUUGAGCUAACCCAAGCCUAACUCAUUUAUUAAUUGUGUAAAGAAUCUCAACCCUAGCCGAUCCAUUUAUUAUCGUGCUAUAAUUGUGUUACUUAUUUAACAAAAUCUCAAUUUUUAAUUAAAAAAAUAUUUUCAAUAUGUUUUUAUAUUUUCUAUAAAUCUUGGGGUGCUAUCAUGUUAAACUCUAAUCAAUUUUAUUUUAAAUACAAAUAAAUGAUUUUAAAAAAUAUGAAAAUUCAACAUUUAUCUAUCGAUAAAAUACAAGUCAAGUAGUAUAAUUAAUUGUGACAUAAAUAAAUUAUCAUAUGUAAAACCGAACCUAAUACAGUUAUUAAUCGAGUUGACAGUUCGGAAGAGCUAGUAAAUCCAUUCAAGUUGGAUAUUCAAGUAUCUGAUCCAAAUAGAUUGGAGAAUAUCCAUCCAAAAUACUCUGGAUUUGGUUUAUCUUAUGUUCAUCCAUGAACUUGAUUAUUAUUAAUAUUUAGGUAUAUGAGACUAAAUUUGAAUAUUAUAAUUAAUAUUUAAGUUUUGUAAAUUAAAUGAAAAAUUAAAAUAACCUUGCCGAAAAUUAUUGCACCAACGAUGACAAUGAUGGCACCAUCAUCAAAAAAUAAAAGUGAAUGAACAAAAACACAAAUACUAUCAACAUAUUUGAAAUUCUCCAAUCUAUGUAAUGGAGGCAACGUUGCCAGAUAAAUGGAUGUCUAGGGAUGGAUGCGCCUUCCAAUACAAAUAGUCGUAGCAAGACCAUCAUGAUUAGGCGGCAUUUCAAGGUUCACCACUACAUUUAACAACCAAAUUGAUGGUCUCUAAAUUGGAAAAAGGUGAUAGUGUAAUGUAACACACUAUGGUUUGUGGCAUAAUUAUGGUGAUAGCCACUUUUGGAAGGUGCAACUUUGCACAUCACCAUUUUCUGACUUUGAGACCAUCAUUAUGUAGAUCAUCCAAUUUUAAGUCCAAUGGUACCCUUCACAGUCCUCUUCAAUCAAUAACAAUCAUGUCAUCGUCGACAACGGAGCAGUGACCGCCAGCAAUUAUCUAUAUUUUUAAUGAAAAUUAUUGAUUUACAAUUAAUUAAAAAAUAAGAGUAAUGAAUUUUGUUUUGUUAUUAUGUUUCUAUA
rnacentral:lncRNA from 1 species